AGGACGAACGCUGGCGGCGUGCUUAACACAUGCAAGUCGAGCGGAAAGGCCCUUCGGGGUACUCGAGCGGCGAACGGGUGAGUAACACGUGAGCAAUCUGCCCUUAGCUUCGGGAUAGCUCCGGGAAACCGGAAUUAAUACCGAAUACGACCUCGGCCGACAUCGGCCUUGGUGGAAAGUUUUUCGGCUAGGGAUGAACUCGCGGCCUAUCAGCUUGUUGGUGGGGUAAUGGCCUACCAAGGCGACGACGGGU
rnacentral:rRNA from 1 species